rnacentral:rRNA from 1 species
GAUGAACGCUGGCGGCGUGCUUAACACAUGCAAGUCGAACGGAAAGGCUCCUGCUUGCAGGGGUACUCGAGUGGCGAACGGGUGAGUAACACGUGGGUGAUCUGCCCUGCACUUCGGGAUAAGCCUGGGAAACUGGGUCUAAUACCGGAUAGGACGAUGGUUUGGAUGCCAUUGUGGAAAGUUUUUCGGUGUGGGAUGAGCUCGCGGCCUAUCAGCUUGUUGGUGGGGUAAUGGCCUACCAAGGCGUCGACGGGUAGCCGGCCUGAGAGGGUGUACGGCCACAUUGGGACUGAGAUGCGGCCCAGACGCCUACGGGAGGCAGCAGUGGGGAAUAUUGCACAAUGGGCGCAAGCCUGAUGCAGCGACGCCGCGUGGGGGAUGACGGCCUUCGGGUUGUAAACUCCUUUCGCUAGGGACGAAGCGCAAGUGACGGUACCUGGAGAAGAAGCACCGGCUAACUACGU